rnacentral:ncRNA from 1 species
CGUCGUACGGGAGGCUCUGAUCCGCCGGUGGCACCUGACGGCCACCUUCAGCCGACGGGGAGCCACUGGUGAGACCGGCCCGCGGGCCG